UCGUUCGCAUGAACAACGCUUAAAAGAUGGCUUCUCGCUAUCACUUCUGGAUGGACCUGCGGUGCAUUAGCUUGUUGGUGGGGUAAUGGCCUACCAAGGCGAUGAUGCAUAGCCGAGUUGAGAGACUGAUCGGCCACAAUGGGACUGAGACACGGCCCAUACUCCUACGGGAGGCAGCAGUAGGGAAUCUUCCACAAUGGGCGCAAGCCUGAUGGAGCAACACCGCGUGAGUGAAGAAGGGUUUCGGCUCGUAAAGCUCUGUUGUUAAAGAAGAACACGUAUGAGAGUAACUGUUCAUACGUUGACGGUAUUUAACC
rnacentral:rRNA from 1 species